GACGAACGCUGGCGGCGCGCUUAACACAUGCAAGUCGAACGGAAAGGCCUGCUUUCCCUUGUGGAUUGCGGGUACUCGAGUGGCGAACGGGUGAGUAACACGUGAGUGAUCUGCCCCCAACUUGGGUAUAAGCCUGGGAAACUGGGUCUAAUUCCCGAUAGGACUGCAGGGUGGUGCCUGUGGUGGAAAACGAUUUUCUAGUGGUUGGGGAUGAGCUCGCGGCCUAUCAGCUUGUUGGUGGGGUAAUGGCCUACCAAGGCGGCGACGGGUAGCCGGCCUGGGAGGGUGGACGGCCACAUUGGGACUGAGAUACGGCCCAGACUCCUACGGGAGGCAGCAGUGGGGAAUACUGCGCAAUGGGCGGAAGCCUGAUGCAGCGACGCCGCGUGGGGGAUGACGGCCUUCGGGUUGUAAACUCCUUUCGACCGCGAGGAAGCCACCUGGUUGGAAGGGUGGUGACGGUAGUGGUAGAAGAAGCACCGGCUAACUACGUG
rnacentral:rRNA from 1 species